rnacentral:miRNA from 1 species
UUGAUUAAACCGAGCCAAUCACAAAACAGAAUUAGUGGUAAUUACUAAAACCACUAAUUCUGUUUUGUGAUUGGCGCGGUUUAAUCAA